rnacentral:rRNA from 1 species
UAAGCGAAUAGUAAAUCUGGUGGCUCAACCAUCAACCUAUUGUUCGAACUGCUCGUCUCGAGAAUGGUAGAGGUAGCUGGAAUUUCUUGUGUAGGAGUGAAAUCCGUAGAUGUAAGAAGGAACACCAAUGGCGUAGGCAGGCUACUGGACCAUUUCUGACGCUGAGGCACGAAAGCGUGGGAGCGAGCCGGAUUAGAUACCCGGGUAGUCCACGCCGUAAACUAUGGAUACUA